UACGAAGGGGGGCUAGCGUUGUUCGGAAUUACUGGGCGUAAAGGGCGCGUAGGCGGUCCUGAUCGUCGGAUGUGAAAGGCCUGGGCUCAACCUGGGAAUGGCAUCCGAUACGGCGGGACUGGAGUGUGGGAGAGGUUGGUGGAAUUCCCAGUGUAGAGGUGAAAUUCGUAGAUAUCGUAAGGAAGACCAGUGGCGAAGGCGGGUCUCUGGACAGUUCCUGACUGCUGAGGGCACGAAGGUCAGGGGAGCAAACGGG
rnacentral:rRNA from 1 species